rnacentral:misc_RNA from 1 species
UUAACAACAAAACAAAACUCAAUAACAUCAAGGUUUUUCUCCCUAUGCCGUACGGACAAUGCAACACAAGGUCUUUCACCCUGUUUUAUGAAGCAUGCAACAAACAAAACUAUUGAAUGAUUGUAGAUAGGAAACAGAAUGGAAGAAAAAAAUAUUGUGGUGGGAUGCUACCUCUUACUAGAUUAGCUUUAUAUAAUGACCAAGGACAAUACAAUAAAGCACCCAAUUUUCUUACAGUAUGUUUGGAUGGAGUGU